rnacentral:ncRNA from 2 species
UUGGCGUCAGGAGAUGGCAUUCUCCUUAACCGCCGAGACACCGGAUGAUGAUGCCUACUGCGUU